GAAAUAAAAACAAGCCCUGCCGUGUCAGGUGUUUUCAGUGUUCUCCUGAUGGUCGCCUAGGAACAAACAUUAUCUUCUAGGGAAGCCGCAGGGACAAGAGAAUGUUUAAGCUCAUCUUAAUGACCCGAGUCUUAGAAGCUUCUCCAUUGUGAGGAAGCAGGGUGUGUUCUUUCUAGAGCCUCCAGACCAUGCCAGGUUAUGGUAAAAAAAUGCAAAGAUUUCAGUGUGAUGGCUUCUUAACCCAUUUGCUCAUUCACAGAAGGGAGUAAUCCCUGAGCUGACACAAAUCACUCAAGUCAGGCCAAGCCUUCAUGCUUCUUAACCAAAAAAGGGGAGCGGGGGGGCAGGGAGGUCCCCUUGCAGGACAGUGAGAGAGGAGAUGUUUAGUGAUGUCCAACAAGGCAUCUCACUUGCAAGAUUCUGGCCUCUUUCAGGAGGUGGGAUGGGGCAUGUGUCUUGUAGUGGCUGCUUUUUCUGAAAGUCAAACCACAUCAAGGUACAUGCCUUCCUUUUUAUUUCCUUCUGCUUGAAAUAUCCUGUAACUCCAAGACAACUGCCUCUCUCUCUCUCUCUCUCUCUCUCUCUCUCUCUCUCUCUCUCUCUCUCAUUCUCUCCCCCUUCGCACCCCCCUCCGUGUGUGUGUGUGUGUGCGCACACGAACAUGUAUAAAGCUUUCUUUUAGAUCUGCACUCAAGCCUGAAUGUUAGAGGUUCAAAACCACUUUCUAUUUCAAUAUUUUUGCUAUUGCUCAAAUACAAAACUUCAAGUGUGGAAAACCAGGGAAUGGUUUUGGAGUGUAAUUAUUUUUUUUCUGUGUGUGCAUGCUAACAGCCUCCACAGUCCAUUCCUUCUUCCCGGAGAGCACAUGCAGACACACAUAUGCUUUAAGUCCAGCCUUCCAUGAAUUCUAGAAAAAGACUAAAAUAGAUUCAGUACCUCCCUCUAAGAUGAUAAUGAUGACUCUGGCACUCAUAGCAGGAACAUAUAGUCAAAGGAGUAAAUUCCACAUAAGAGUUAGUUGUGCACAAGGGUAGAAUCAAGGGAUUCUGGAGGAGUCAUUACUUAGAUGUUGAGAUAGAGUCUCCUUAUUGGGCCCAGGCUAUCUUUGAACUUGAAGCAAUCAUCUUUUUCUUAUUAAUCACAUAUUUAUUUAUUCAUUGAAAUUCAUGCAUGUAUAAAUGUAUUUUGAUCAUAUGCGCCCCUACUACUUUCAACUCCCUACGGACCUCCUAUUCUGUCUUCUUCCUGGCUUCAUGCCCUGUCACCACCCCCACCACCCCAUCCCCAAAUCCAAUUAUUGUUGUCUACAUGUGCAGGCAUAUGGGUUCAUCCAGUAGGGCAUGGGCAACCUACCAGCAAACAAAAGUGACUCUCCCUCAACAACCAUUUAUAAUCCUUCUUUGCUAGGCUCAGAGUUACUGUCCAUGCUGGAAUUCUGACUGGCUUGAUCCUGUGCACAGCGGCGGUGCAGUGAUGUUUAUCAGCCAUGUCAUGUCUAAAGGGCAGCAUUAUCAUAGCUCCCCUCCACAUUCUUUGGCUCUUUCACUCUCUCUGGGCCUUCUGCUGCUGACCUGUGGAUGAGGGACAUUGAUGUAGAUGACCCACCUAUGGUUGGACCCUCACGUCUCAUCAGAUCCUUGGGUGCUAGGAUUAUAGGUGCACACCACCACAUCCUGCUCAGUGAUACUUAGUGUUUUGAGAUUUGUCAUUUGGAACCAAUAGUCUUGGCACCAUCCAACUUUAACAUAAGGCAGGUGGUUAAAGUUUGUGGGAAAAAAUACAGGAUAGCCUGUCCCAUUUAGAUUUCAGGUUAAACUAUGACUGGCUCUCAGUAUAAUUAUGUUCCCUAAAAUACUUAGGGUUUAUUUGUAUAGAAAAUUAUCCUAUCCUUGUCUCGAACUUGGCUUUCACUAGAGUCUUAUAUUUUCUGUUUGCUAAAUAUGGCAACUUUACCUGAGGUAAAGAAUAGUAACGUUUGUAGCUAACUGAAUGAGAGCAGAGCCAUUCAUCCCGAGAUGGUAAAAACCUAAUGCCAAUUGUAAAGUUUUCCCAGCAUGCCUGGCUUCUUCCCACCUGUACUCUACAUCCUCUAAGAAGCCCAGUCUGUGUAAUGUCAGGAUGUUGGUAUGGCCUUUGAGUUGCUAUCCAAGGGUGUAUCCCAUUAGCUUUCACUGAUGGCGUUCCAGUUGCAAUGAUUCUAAGCACAUACAACUUGUUGAAAGUGGAUGCUGGGUUGAGUCUCUGUUUGCAAGCAUUUCAUGAGUUCAGGGAAGGCUUGCAUAUCUCCAACUGGUGACAACUUACAGAACCAUGAGCGAAAAGAAUAAGAUGUUAAAUAUUCCAUGAGGAUUGGAGAUGAACGAAGAGUCAAUAGAGGAGGGUCCAAGUAUGGAGGGAUUAGAGAGGUUCUUAUAGACGAUGAUAUUAGCUCACAGCAUUCCAUGUUGAGCAGUCAGAACCAUCAAUGAGACAGAAAUCAGAAUGUGUGCCCAAGAAAGUUUCCAUUCCAACUUGAGAGGCAAUGAUCCAUUCAUUCAUUUGUGUAUUCAGCGGAUACAUGUCAAACUUUGAAGCACGAAUUAGUGAAAAAUUGUAAAUGUGUAAAGAGCUAUGAAGAAGAGACUCAUGGUGCUAUGAGGUGUAUGAAAAAUGCAGUGGGGGUGGAGACCACCAAUGAUUGAGUUACAUUGUGAAUGGAGAACAGAAUUAAUGAGAUGACAAGAGAGUAGUGAGAGCCUUAGGGGAGGAGAAUACAGAGCAGAUGAACUUGUCUGCAUCAGGAAGACCCUAGUGCUGACAGGACCAGGAGCAUCCAAGACCAGUUGUGACUGAAACAUAGGGAUUGUGGUGGAAUGGUAGAUUGGAAGUGUUAAAGCUCUGAACACUUUGACACCUGCUGGGAAUUUUAUCUUAAUUUUCAGGGCACGGUGGAGCCCUGUAUUUAAAUGGGGAGGAAGAGCAUCGUGUGGGCAGGGAAGGUUAUGAUGUAGGAAGGUUAAAGGGACAUAGACAAGAAGAGGGAGAGAAGGCUCUGAGGGUUCCCUGAAACGGUGCCUUCUUGUUCCCAGAACAAUAUUGCAAGGAGAAAUGCUAGAAAGGCAUUGGGGGUAGGCAUCUAAACAGGACCAAUAAGGGAAAGAGGGGGGACCCAGGAUGAAACUGUUACUUUCCCCUUCUAUGUAGCUUGGUCUUCUGUCUUUCCCAGAUGUUCAACUCUUUUGUCUUUCCUGGAUGUUCUUUGUUCUGCCAAGGUUCACACUCACUGAUCUUACACUGACCACCAGCAUCCCUGUUAUGGAAAAGUAGCCAAAUAUCUGAGAGUCAAGUAGGUAGGGAGCAACAGUAAUGACAGUUAUUGGGAAAGCAACACACUGUUUGUCAUCUCUCCAUACAAAAGAAGUAGCUCCAUGGGGACUCUGAUCAGUAUGUAGGUGGACCCUGGGGCUUAGCUUAGCACAGUAAGCAGGAUUUCACAAGCUACAGUUCUGGGUUCGGCUGGAGGGUGGUAAGGCAUGGAGCAGGGAACAGCCUGAGUCCAGCAGCACCCACAGGGCUAUGCCAACCUCAGCAGGCCAGGGGAAAGAAGGCAGGCUGGCUCACGUGCCAGCUACCCUGUGUCCUUCAUAACAGUCCAAGCUCUGGAGACAGAGUCAGAGGGAGAAGAUCAGCUUCUGAAUCUAGACUGCUCCUGUUGAGAUUGUCAUCACUGGCCCCCUUUCUGCCAAGUGUAUUUGUAAUAAUGGGCGGCAUAGUUCUAGAACUCUUCACCUACUUGUGGCAAUUCUCCUGCCCACACUUACUCCACAGAGGCUCCUCUGCCUUUGCUGGCUGCAUUCACAAAAGGAUUGCUCAAAAGUGAGGGUUCUGGUGUAUGUCGGGGGCAGGUGUUUGUGAGGCGAUGCCCAGGGGCUUUGCCAUGAUUUGUGGUAUCAAGAAAUAGGAAUCUACUUACGUGGCAUUGUAUCUUUGGCGCAAACUUAGAGAAGUCUCCCGCUCCCAAUGGACAGCAUACAUCUAUGGAAUGAUAGCCACACUUAACUACCUAAAACAAACAAGUGGACACGACCAGCACAGCUGAGAUCUUGAAGGAACCUACUCAUCUUAUAGGCCUCCGAUGACGUAGCUCUGAGGUAAGGAAACAGUGGGGUAUUUAACUUCAGCAGGGGUAGACUACGAGAGACACUUUUCCCGAGUAUCAUGUCUGUGUGCAGCAGGACUCCAGGGAACAGGCCUUCAAAGUUGCCAACCAUCUUCAUGAUCAUGUAAUCAACAAGGCACUGGGAUGGAGACCAUUCACCCUUCAGGUUGCUGACCUCACUAUGAUUUACAUCACUAGAGAUGCUUCAGAACCCGAAGGAGGAAGGCAAUACUUUAAGCAGGAGGCAGAGAAAUUAGAAGACCAGAGAAGGGAAUGGGUGAGAAUCAGGGUGGGAGGUUGGGUGUUCUAAACAAAGAUGGCAACACAAAGGCUAGCUGUGGAUAAAUGGCACCAGAGCAUUGCUUCAAUGGGCACAAGAUUUCAGAUUCCUUUACUCAUGUGUUUUCCCUGCUUCAGAAGGGUGGGGAAACCCACUCAGCUCGAGUAAGUCCAUCUCUGCUACAGAAGGCUUUGGGACCAUGGUUGGGGAUGGUCUUAGCAGUGACCAGCUUUAGGUAGAGUCUGUUUACUUCUUGGAGGGCAAUGCAUGAAGAGAGGAGGAGAAGGUGCAUGCUCAGAGUUCCACAGUUGAAUCUACAGAAGGGGGGGCAUUCUAAGAGUGAAUCAAUCAAUGUAAGUCUUGAAAGAGUGAAGGUGAAAAGGCCUUAGCCUUGUUAGGCAGGGUGAUUCAUGGACCUAAUCACGGUGCAUGGCACACUAAGGCAGGAGGAGGUGAAUUGUAUGAUAACUGACUUGUUAGUGAGUCCACCCCUCCGGUCUCUGUGGAAAGCAGAGUCAUUGUUGUGCCGCAAUAGUUACAGGUGGCCGGGGCUGAAGCCCAGCUCACCAAGGACACUUUAGUCUUUAUCCUAGAGUCUGGUCUCCCUGGCUUCCACCGCUCUCGCCUCCCCCGUGUCACCCAGCCAUUUCUGCAGCUGUUGUUGGUAAGGGGGAUGAUAAACACACGCAUAGUUGAAGAAUGACUAGAUCACGUAGUUCUGCAUUCGUGCCGCUGCUCUGUAAACUGGGCUGGAGUAUUGAGAAACAGCCACGAGCCGCAGGACACAUCUUUGCCCUUGGUUCGUAUAUAUUGAUAUAUUUUCCCAAGCUCCUCCUUGGUGGUCCCAGGACAGUAGUCCUUUCACAGGGCUGCCCAUGGCUGAGCUAGCCUGCCAAGCCAAUGACUCCUCCCUCUCUGCUUUCUCCCUUGGAUUCCCACCCUAGGGGUAGGGGUGGGGGUGAGAGUGGGGGAGUUUGCCUUUCUUUUGUCUAAGGUGAAAAGUCAGGGUUUCCACAUCUCAAAGGAGAACUUAUUACGUGGUGAAAACAAGUUAAUCCUGCUCUUCGCCUCCAUUGAUAAAUCUUUUUACUUUUAAAAGAUGGCGUCUCAUAGAUAUCAGGCUAACCUCAGACACGCUGUGUUUAGUAUUGAUCCUCCGGCCUUCCCAAUCUCCGCUGGUCUGUGCCACCAAGCCAUUCUUCAAUCUCAUGCUUCUUUCGCCUGUCAGUGUUUCUUCUAGGAAAAGACAGACUGAGUGGAAGACACAAUGCCAUAGGCUCCAUGCUCUCAAAACCUCCAGAAACCUCAACAAAACAACUGUUUCCUCCUCUUGCUUUACUUGGGCUGUGUCAUGUCUCUUACUAUGUGCACAUCUGCAUUGGUCCUGGUUUGCAAUGAGGGUUUCUUCUCUCAUUGGACUAGGCAAGCUGUGCCUGAUGAAUUUACUUCAAGGUCAUUAACUAGAGAAAGACAGAGUCCCAUUUUUCACAAAUAGCAGUGGGCACGUCUUUCUUUCCUCCCUAACAUCAGGUUGAUUGGUUUCUUGCGGCCUUCUCCACUGUCCUUGGCUUACACAGCCCCUAGAAAUAUGUGACCAAGGUUCAGAGCCAAAAAAGUGAGACUACAGAGGAUUCUCUGUGUUCAAGAAAGAAUAGCUGGGAGCUGCCCUGGGAGGUCCUCUUCCUGUUACUGGCUUCAUUCUGGUCAUACUUCAAUGCACACUCCCUCAAGGGGGCAAAGAACACUGUUCAUCCCAUACACACAUUGGAUUGGUUUAACUCCUCCUAGUCCCUUGUAACUGCCUGCUCUCUUUUCCCUUCUCUCCAGGUUCAACUAAUUGCUUCUCUCUGGACCCCGAAACCAUUGGCCUGUGCAUGCCUGAGCCUGCCUCCUCCAGCAGCAGCAAGGUCUAGGGAGUGUUGGUCACUAGGCUCUAUUUCUUUUUAUAGAUUAUUAGCAGAUCUUCAAAGCAACCAUGGGCUUUGUGUUAGCCAAUGGGAAGAAGAAGAGUGUGUCUUUUUAACUGUUGCCUCGUUAACCUGGUUCCUUGAAGGUAAACAAGGAUAAAGUAGAGAUAUGUUAGGACCCUUGUAAUAUUGAGAAUCACAUAGGUAUAUGAUUACCUACAUCCAUAUUUUUGCAUAUUUAAACCUAGUAGAUGUAUUUUUGUUGUUUGAUCUGACUUUUUCUUUUUUUUAAAUUUUUUGAGAUAGUCCUUAGGCUAACCUCAAAAUUGCUAGAUAGUUGAGGAAUGUUUCAAAUUUCUGAUGCUAGUAUUCUAAGUGAGAGCCACCAUACCCAGACCUAACAGAUACAUUCUUGAAAAUUAUAUUUAUAUAUAUACACAUAUAUAUAUACACACACAUACAUACACACACAUAUAUAUGUAAAUGUAUACACACACAUAUUAAAAAACAGGGUUGUAAAUAAAUAGUGCCUCUCUCUGCUUAGCUUUUACCAAAACAAGUCCAUACCAAGGGAUCGAGUUUGCUUAUGGAGAGGGCAGUCUAGAUCGUGACAAAUGCCAUACACACGCACACACAAUGAGUGCCUCGGAGGCCAAGGCUUGUGACCGUAUCUCUGCCGACUCCCUCAUAAUGUUCAUUACACGGUCCCACCCUGGGCUGAACUCCAUGCUCCCUUUCCAGCUGGCAGAGUUCAUCCUGUUAGUAGUGACUCAGUAUGACUUCAUUUAUUUCAAGGCUUUGAGUCAAUAGCAAGACCCACAUUCCCCAAGGCAUUAUUUGCACAACUGGAGGCAGAAAUGAACACCCAGUAACACGGAGGGCACCUGUAUCCUUAGAGAAUCACCUGGUCUGGGCUUGCUCUUUGGGUAACACCUCUAUCCACCCAAACAGCCUCCUUUCCACACGGGCCAGGAUGAACAAACAAGAAUCUGAAGUGCUCUGUGUUCUUUUGUGUGUGACUGGGUCUUUCCUCUCUAGAACUUUCCGAGUUGCCCGCACAAAGGGCCCUUCCCUAUCCAGAGUUGCUAUACCCCUUUCUCAUGGUGCCACUUAGCCAAAUGCUACGAUGAGAAAACUGUGGGCUCUUUUGUCUGUGUUCUUUGUUUCAGAGCAAAACCAAACUGUUGUAUUGAGAGCCAGUUGCAAGAGUCCCUCUCAGCAUGAAGCCCAGGAACCAGCUUAGAACUGAAGUCAUUGUUUGCUCUGAGCGUCACUGAAACACUUCAAGUUUGCACGUAUUCUCAUCUCAAAGUUUUACGGGAGUAAUAAAGGUGGUUUAUUACCACAGAUAUGCUUUCAGACUGAUAAUAUGGCCCCUGAUCCAUCUGACCCUGUGGACGGGGAGUGUCCCUACAUCUGUUCUGUAGGGUCACCCAGGCUGUGCCCUUAGAUUCUUACUCAGACUUGGAAACGAUGCCCCAGUCACGAGUCACACAUCAGCCCUUGGUACAAGGUUAAUGCAGCGGGGAUCACAAACUCUGGGUCCUUCCAACAGGCAAGGGUGUGACAUUAUGGCUAAACCUCACUUUAUUGCAGCCGUCUACAGUGCUUCCUGCUCUCCAGGAGGAUGAAUGCCUGGGAGUUCCCCCUGAAAAGUUCCGUGAUCCAUGCCUCAGUCCAUGUGCCCCUUGAGCCCGCUGUGUUUAAAGAACCAUCCUCCAAGUAGGUAGCGCUGAGCUGAGCACGGCCCAUUGCAGCAUAGGGAGAACCACAGCACAUCUGUCCAGACGGGCAGACCCCAUGCUUCCCGAACAUCAAAUGCCAGCGAGAAUGUAGAAGACAAAGGGGUCUUUGUGCAUGGUUGGAUGGAAGGAAACGGGUGUCGCCAUUAUGAAAAAAAAAUGGUAUGCAGAUGCUUCAAAAAAUUGAAAACAGAGUUAGCAUAUGAUAGAGUAAUCCUACUACUGGAUAUCUGUCCAAAGGAAGUGAACUUAGCAUGUCAAAAGUUAUCUGUAUCCUCCUUGUCCCUGCUGCACUGUUGGCAACAGAAAGAUCUGGAAACAACUGGUAUAUUUGCUGAUAAAUGACGUGACGAGGAAUACACA
rnacentral:sRNA from 1 species